UACGGAAGGUGCGAGCGUUAAUCGGAAUUACUGGGCGUAAAGCGUGCGUAGGUGGUAGAGUCAGUCGGAUGUGAAAGCCCCGGGCUUAACCUGGGAACUGCACCUGAUACUGCUUAACUAGAGUACGGAAGAGGGAAGUGGAAUUUCCUGUGUAGCGGUGAAAUGCGUAGAUAUAGGAAGGAACACCAGUGGCGAAGGCGACUGCCUGGACUGAUACUGACACUGAGGCGCGAAAGCGUGGGUAGCAAACAGG
rnacentral:misc_RNA from 1 species